GCUGCCUAUCAGCAAGACAGCACUGUUAUUAGCUCUUUCUCAUGAAUUUGUUAGGCUUGGCUGCUAAUCUUCCACAAAACCAGGGUUUUUUUUUUCAAACAGCUGAAACUCACUGGAACUCAGCCCUGCCCCUCAGGUGGGUGUCAUUGCUAUUAUAAGAGAACAAGAGAGGCAUUUGUGGUGAGUUCAGGCACCUCUUUUUCUAGACAAAUAGCAUUGCACAAAACUGACAGUCAGGACUACCCCUUGGCCUGGUUAAAAGGAAUAAGGCAGGCUGGUGUGGCAGGGCAAACUGUGGUUGGUGGGGAGCUGCCCCCUUUGCCCCAGUGGGCCAGCCUCCAUUGCUGAUAUUCAGAUAAGAGAUUACUGUAUUGUCUGAAAAAGAAUGAUUUAUUCUUUAGGCAAGAAGGCUAGAAUUCCCCAAGUGACAGGAAGUAUUGGAGAAAAGGAAGGGACAUAUUCGGAAGGAAGUCAACUAUAUUAGCAGGGAAAAUAUAUCCAUUGUUCUCCCCCUCCAUGGUGUUUUUUUUAAACUGCAUUUAAAAAAAUGACGCGUGCCUCUGAACAAUGUGCUUCGUGUGUCUUUUUCAGGAAUUGAAGCUGGCCAGGGACAGCAUUGCUCUGAGGAGCUGCCCCUGGCAAACUCUUAUGUAAAACAGAGGGUAGUCUGGUUUAUUUUCCACCAGGAGCAUUAUUAUGGCUUUGAAUUUUAAAAUUAAAGUUUCUCCAGGGUGGGGCAGGGGGAACCCAAACUGGAACACAGCAGGAUGUGAGGUGGGGGCUCCUUCAAAUAUGAAGCAGGAGCUGAUGGGAAGAGUGGUUUGCCUAGAAUCUGAACCGUUUAGGUUUGUUACUUUAGGCUGCAGGCUGCACAUGGAUCGAUCCAAAUUAAUGCCACUUCUCCAAAUGUAUUAUUUAUUCCAUCCCUAACCUUAACUACCAAGACCACGCAUAACUCUAAGAAAGCGGCCAUCAUUUCCGGGGGGGGGGGGGGCGGAAUCUGUAUCUUCCCUUGGAGACAUCCCUGGAGGUAAUUUUUGUUAUUGCUGAUAGUUAUCAGAAAGUUCUAGUGCACUUUUUUUAAUGGAAAGGAGGCCAUAUGCUUCUCACUGAAGAUCUUGUCUAUUUCUAGUCUGGUAACCAUUAACGGAAGAGCUAUGAGCUCCAGCCUGAGGAUUCCAUGGAAGGAGGAUGUGACUGUUUUCAAAACACAAGUGCUUGGGGUUCUGACUUUCAUUUGAUGUUUUCUGAAACCAGAAAACAAUUGAAAAUUAUUCUAAUCCAGUUUAUGCUGUAAUAGGAUUGGGGUUAUUUUUGCUCUGAUCUCUGAUCAAGGGUUUUCCAGCUCCCCCAUCUUCCAGCUUCCUUGACAUGUUCUCAUUUAUCUGACUCUCAGCGUAUAAAGGGAACAGGCACUGAUGUGUCAUUAUCACCAACUAUUAUAUUUCCCCUUCCACUAAACUGCUGAUAAAAAAGUGAAAUAACAAGUUUUACUCUGCUUUUAGUGUGUGUAGUACUUUAUAAGAAACUGCCUUUAUUCCUGUGAUGGACUAGAGAAUCUGUGGCUCUCUCUAUGUUGAUGGACUACAUAUCCCGUUGGUCAUAUUGGCUGGGGCUGAUGGGAGUUGUAGUCAAACAACUGAAGGGCCUAUUAGCUCAUGAGUUAGAAGGGAUUUGAAGCACAAUGUUCCCUACAAGCAAGGAUGGGGAACCACCCUCUAGGGCUUGGUGGACUACCACUCCCAUCAGCUUCAGCCGGUAUGACCAGUGAGGAUGAGAAUUGAAGUUCUGCAGCAUCUGUAAAGUUUCUGAUUUCUGCCUUUAAAGGACUGCAGUGAAGGCCAUAAAGCUGCCAUUGCCGUAAAUCUUAAAUAUGGUGACAGCUUCCUUCCCAAGUUUUCAAAAUGAAAAAUGUUACUCUCUUGCUGAAUAAGACACUUAGGUUUUUCAUUUUGUAAACUUGGGAAGGAAACUUGUGAUGCAUUUCCUCUUUUUUUACCGCUAAAUAAGUUUCCAGCCUAGAAGCAACAGUUCAGUGGCAAAGCACCAAAGGAAUCCAGUUCUCCUUUGGAAUAUUCCAGGCCCUUUCACUGAAUUAUCACCUUAAUACAAAAACGUCUCUAGCCCUUUAUAUAUAAAGACAGGCAGCAAAAUGUCAAAAUUCUCACCAAUUGUUCACUAAGAAGGAAGUCUGUUUCUGCCUUCUGGGAUAAAUGAUGAGCAUUUCUUUUAAAAAAAUUACAGAAUUAAAAGUUUAUUUUGUAAUUAAUAUUUAAUGCAAUUAACUUGAAACCUAUUAUGCUGACGGUCACAAUAUGUCCUACUAUACAGUGGUUGGUUCUCUGUUUUGAAGGGCUGUCAGAGGACAUUACUUGAGGGGAUUCUCUGUUUCAGGGCUAUCUGGUCCAAAUCUGGUUGAAAGAUAUGGAACCAUAAGAAGGGAGAGCAGGAGCCUUAAAGCUGCCCAUCCAUAAUUAGCAGAACCUGGUCAGCUGACUGAGCAGGCACACAGACCACCUGGUGUCUUUCCCACUACAGUCAUCCCUUCUAAAUUUGCAUCUACCGUAUUUUUCGCACCAUAGGGCGCACCGGACCAUAGGGCGCACCCAGUUUUUAGGGGGGGGAAAUAUUUUUCCGCCCCCAGCCCCAAAGAGCAGCGUACAGGCUGCGCACAACCUCUUCCUGCCAGAGGGGUUGCGCGCGGCUAUGGCACAAGCCAAGGCAGCGAGCAGGAUGGAUCCCGCUCGCUGUUUUGGCUUCCCAUUUAGCCCCGUGCAGCCUCCCCUUGCCGGAGGGGUUGCGUGCAGCUAUGGAGGAAGCCAAAGCAGUGAGCGGGAUGGAUCCCGCUCGCUGUUUUGGCUUCCCCUUUAGCCCCGUGCAGCCUCUCCUUGCCAGGAGACACUGCCCAGGGCUAAAGAAUCCAUAGCCCCGUGCAGCCUCUCCUUGCCGGAGGGGUUGUGCGCAGCUAUGGAGGAAGCCAAGGCAGCGAGCGGGAUGGAUCCCUCUCGCGGUUUUGGCGUCCCCAUUAGCCCCGUGCAGCCUCUCCUUGCCGGAGACGCUGCGCAGGGCUUCCUGGCUUUCCUGGGAGGUGGGGAUUCCCUCACCUCUCCCAAAAGCCCGCAGAAGCCGCGCAACCCCUUUAAAGAGAACGCGGCUUCUCCUGGCUUUCCUGGGAAGUGGGGGAAUUCCCCCACCUCCCGCAAAACCGGCAGAAGCUGCGCGCACUUUAAAAGGGCUGCACGGCUUCUCCUGGCUUUCCUGGGAGGUGGGGGAAUUCCCUCACCUCUCGCAAAAGCCCGCAGAAGCCGCGCAACCCCUUUAAAGAGAUCGCGGCUUCUCCUGGCUUUCCUGGGAGGUGGGAGAAGGGACUGAUGCUGCCAGUCAAUCCCUUCUCCCUCCUGUGGAAAAGCCCGCAAGAGUGCACAGAGCUUGUAUGCGGCUCUUGGGGGCUUUUCCCGCCUGCCUCCCCCCUGCAUUCGCUCCAUAGGACGCACACACAUUUUCCCUUGCUUUUUAGGAGGGAAAAAGUGCGUCCUAUGGUGCGAAAAAUACGGUAUAUAUAAAAAUGACUGCAUGCAAAUCUGUGUCCCUUUUUUUUGCGAUGCAACCCACCUUUUUUGUUUUUUGCCAAUGCAUAACUGACACCCCUAAUUAGGCUGCAUGUAUGACCUUAGAACUCUACAUGCAUACAUGUUUGGCAUGCAUAAUGCUCCAGGUUUGCUCCAGUUUAAGGAUUUAAGGUCCCAGACCUAAGGCAGUGAGGACAGGGAAUAACAAGCUGCCGAAUGGCCCUUUGGAUCUGCUGAUUACAAGGCAGCUGAGCUCCUUCUGUUCCUGUUUAGGAUGAAAAGACUUCUGUGUUAAAGUUACGGCAGUCUCUGAGCCCAAAUUGUUUUUCUGCACCAUUAAAAAAAGAAGCCCAAACCAACAGUUUGGCGCUUAGCAUAAUCCCCCGUAAUGAUCAGUGGCAGCUAAGCAUGCAGCUUGCAAGAUGACAAUUAGAAAGUUCAAAAUUAUCACUUUUAUGUUCUACUCUAGGAAGGAAGGGGCAAAGGAUAUUGUUUGUGGGUGGCAAAAGCCCUGUAAUAAAAAUAUGUGCAACUUAUAUUUGGCUUCUAGCAGGUAAAAAAAUAAAAAAUCAUAACACUUUUUUCGUUCCUUUGCAUGGAGACCAGCAUGGCUCAUGUGUGGCGACCAGAAAAAUGUGCCAUCUAGUCCUUAGAACUGGUUUGUUCAGCAAUGUUAGGAGUAAAGGAGAAGUUAUAUGAAGGGACUGUUGGGUCUUGGCCUCCAAGCAGUGUAAAAGAUGGAAGAUAGCCGUCUGUAUCUGAAGCACAGGAGCAGCACUGGGAAAGACAUUUUGCUGUCCGAGACUGACCAACCAAUGAACCUCACCACCAUGCUGGAGUCAAGGUGCAUACUACCAAAGGCCAGCCAAGUUAUUUUGACACCUGAGGCAUUCUACUUCUCUUAAAUUUUUAUAACACCC